UGGAAGAGUUGGUGAAAAGAAGAUUUGAA
rnacentral:piRNA from 1 species